ACAGGCCGAUACCGACUCUUUUCGAAAACGAGAGUCUUUCCGUAAACAGCA
rnacentral:rRNA from 1 species